GGCUAUAGCUCACUGGUAGAGCAUCUGCUUUGCAUACAGAAGGUCCCAGGUUCAAACCCCGCCAUCUCCA